UGUGGAGUGUGUUGGACAGGGAACGGAGAAGGAGAGUGUUGCGAGCGACAGGGGAGAAGGAAAACGGAAUCAGCCAUCACACUAGGUGUCAUGUCUCAUUUUGGAAUGAUGCUCUUCAAAUACUUCAUCACCGGCCUUCUCAGUUUCACUGCAGACGAUGGCUGACCUCAUUGAGUGACCUCAGAAAUCACAGAUCAAAGUUGUUGGGUUUCUGGCUGGUCAGGUUAAUCAGAGGACCACCCCGAAGAACCAAUCAGGGACAACACUUUGUGAGGCAACUGCUUUCAACAUCGGGGGCCAACCAGGAACAGAUGGACAGGGAGAUAAACCCCCCUACAAGCAAAAGCAGUGGUGCAACUGCCGCUCAAAAUCCCAGCGUGUUGAUGUGUGCAAGUGCAGAGGAAGGAGUAGAGGGGGAGUCUAGAGAGGGGGUUGUGUUAUGGCUCUGAGGGUUCUACUCCUUGAUAUGAGUGACUGACACUCCUCCAACAUCUGUUCCUCAGAAAACAUUCUCUCACUCACAAUCCUCCACCAACAAUCUCCCUGACUCAGUCUCUGCCCCCAACCCCAACACCACACCACACAGACACACACACACACACACACACACACACACAGACACACGCACACACACAUACACACGCAAACACAGUUAGAUGAUCUUUUCAUUUUACAGUAAAGCCAAGAGGAAUGGGGAAAUUAGAUUAGGGCAGAAUAAGAUACUUCACUUAUGAUGUGGCUUUCUGCAGGCUUCUCUGCAUUGUUGACAGAGGAGGCUGCAGACGGCACUGAUGCCUUUACCCUUCUCUUCUCCUUCCUCCGCUGCUCUGUUGCCCCCCCUCCAACCUGAACAUCCACUCCUCAACUCCUCACUCAAUGAUCAGGUUACUCUCCGUCCAUCAGUGGAUAUGGGGUGGAGAAGAAGGGUUAUACUGAUCAAUGGCAGGAAACCAGAUGAUGGCAAAGGAUGAUGUUCUAUUUCUCGCUUAUUUCUGCAGACUGCACAAAGCAUGCAUAGCUUUCCCUUUGGGCCGAAUGCAUACCUAUUUACCUGCCUGCCCCUUAAGUGAAUGACUAAUAAGAUACAAAAUUAGAAUAUGCUGUAUAUUUCUCCCAGCUUUAUGCAAAUAUCUAACAUAUUGCUCUCAGUCUCCAGGGAACCACCCGUGAAUAUACUUAAAGGGGCAUGAGGGAGAACCACAAACACACACACCUCAUACCCAAUAUAUGUGUAAUUAGUGCAGAAAGAGAAAAAAGCUGUCUCAUUUGAGUUUAUUAAUUCGUGGUAUUGCUAUUAGCUUUUAUCACCAGCAUUUUAUGGCCAACAAGGCUGCUGCUCAUUCCUGGAAGCACUUAUUAGCAAAAUUAGUAUUUGCCAGUUAUUUAAAUCUAUCCCUCCAGAUCAAAUUAGGCAGUAUGAGAUCCUGGCAGAGUUAUGACACAAACACUGAUAAUACAAUUGAAAAAGGUGGAGACUUCAUUAUGUUGAAAGAUUAUGCUAAACAUGAUCUCACUGCUUUGUGCAUCAAAGAUUUAUUGGAUUUUUUUAAACAGAUAUGAUAUGAAUGAUCACUUUUGCGUUUGAGUGUGUCAUCAUAUGUGUGUGGAGGUGCACUACUUGUGCAUGGGUACAAGCAUAAAAAAGUGCGUUUCUGAUCUAUACAGUGCAGACUACUGAGCUUUCUUGCCACCACAGCUAACUCUUAACUCCUGUCAAAACAGAACUUUAAAUUAAAUUAAGACUCCAUGCUGCAGGCCCUGCUGAGCCCCCCAACCAAUGCCUUUAACACUCUACACUGCUCUGGAACACACACACACACACACACACACACUAUUCACAGACGUUUCAUCCAAAGACGCACAGAGAUCAACAAUGACAACAAGCUCAGAAUAUAAAUAUAAUGUUCAACUAAUUUAAUGACAACCAGCUAAAUAAAGAAUGAUUUUUAAAAACACCAGAGAAUAUAUAAAAUAUGAUGAAGCUCUGAAGCUGUUAAUUCACUGCAGCUGAAAUGGACAAUGAUGAACCUCUACUGUGUCCAGAACGCUUGGAAGACUACAUUGUAAGGAUGUAUACUGCCCUGUUUAAAGAGUUGUUAAAACAUUUUUUGGGUGGGAAGUUGAACUAAAGCAUGUGAACUGAUGGUGUGUCUAGAAGGUUCAAGGGUCUGUGGCUACAAGGGGGAUGAAAAAAUGUAUAUAAUGCCACAGAAACAAAAUCGUCAUUUUGAAUUUAAACAUUUUCGUCAUGAGGGAAUUUCCUGUUAUAAGGAUUUCUAAAAUACAAAUAAUCCUUUUACUACCAUAUGGGCAUUCAUAUUUGGCAAUGCUGAUGUAUAUUUAAUCUAUUUGGAAAUAAAAGCAUAAACUCUUAGUGUCAAAUUGUUGUCAAUGUGUGCACCAGAAAAAAACUAUUCAAAGACAAUAAAAUAGCAUAUCUCAGAUUCAGUUACCUGUAGAUUUGAAAUAUGAGCCACACUGUGUUUGAAAACAGCAUAGAUAGCUUAUAUAUUGCUGCACACCAAGGUGAUUUAUCUGUAUCUGUGUUUUGUCCUCUGCAAUUUUGUUCAUGUUGCAUGAGUGUCAAUGCUCUGUGUUUUAUCCAACGAUUACUCUCCAACUUGUUCUGUGUGUUGUUGGCAGUUCAAGUUGCUCAAUUAGAAAUCAUGUUAAAACAAUAUUGUCUAACAGAGAGGGUCAUUAAUCAUGAGGUUGACAAGAGCUCUGGACAUUGUUGACAAGUAAUGAGUGUGUUACUAACCAUUAAUACAUUUGGGCUGCUGUUAGACAGGUGGAUAAUUAGUACAUUGAUGAAGGUAAAAAAAAAAGUUCUGUAUGGCAUUACUUCUGGUGAUUAUGUGUCAUUACUUAAUUGAGAGGCACAAUAAAAGGCAGGAGAUUCA